CGCCAUUCUGCUUUGCUUCCUGCUUGCCUGCACUUCUGAGUUCCUCCAUGCCAGCUCCAGUUGAUCCUGCUUGCCUUAUGUGCCUGCCUGCGAACCAGGUCCUCUAACAGAUAACGUGCUGGCAGUAGCAGAGAGACGCACCUGCAAAUGAUUCUACUCGUCAUCCCCUGCUAUAUAACGCCGGUCUCAUCUCCACACUGGUGCCAGAUUGUUCCACCAGUUACGGACACUUAACCAGGGGCACAUCUCAAAUAUGACAAGACCAAGCCCUGAGAGCUACAAUGUUUCCAGGUCCAGUCUAAGGUCCAACUCGUCGAAAGCUGACGCUAUCAAAUGUCUGCCAACCUGACACCCCCCCAAUCUGCAGUCAAGAUGGCCAAGAGGGGCUCCACCAUUUAUCCAAUCCAUACCAGAAGUCUCAAAUGGAAGUUAAUUGCCAAGUAAAACCAAAAUAAAUCUUUAGAAAACAUG